GGCUUGAUGGUGUAGUGCUAACACAUCCCUUUCAAUUAAGAGGGAUGCUAACCGAGUUUAUGGGAAGACCCUUGUUCGAAUCAAGGUCAGGCCA